AUGGACGCAGUCUGAUGGAGCAACGCCGCGUGAGUGAAGAAGGGUUUCGGCUCGUAAAGCUCUGUUGGUAGUGAAGAAAGAUAGAGGUAGUAACUGGCCUUUAUGUGACGGUAAUUACUUAGAAAGUCACGGCUAACUACGUGCCAGCAGCCGCGGUAAUACGUAAGUGGCAAGCGUAGUCCGGAUUUAUUGGGCGUAAAGCGAGUGCAGGCGGUUCAAUAAGUCUGAUGUGAAAGCCUUCGGCUCAACCGGAGAAUUGCAUCAGAAACUGUUGAACUUGAGUGCAGAAGAGGAGAGUGGAACUCCAUGUGUAGCGGUGGAAUGCGUAGAUAUAUGGAAGAACACCAGUGGCGAAGGCGGCUCCCUGGUCUGCAAGCGUGACGCUGAGGCUCAAAAGCAUGGGUAGCGAACAGGAUUAGAUACCCUGGUAGUCCAUGCCGUAAACGAUGAGUGCUAAGUGUUGGGAGGUUUCCGCCUCUCAGUGCUGCGGCUAACGCAUUAAGCACUCCGCCUGGGGAGUACGACCGCAAGGUUGAAACUCAAAGGAAUUGACGGGGGCCCGCACAAGCGGUGGAGCGUGUGGUUUAAUUCGAAG
rnacentral:rRNA from 1 species